GGCGAACGCUGGCGGCGUGCUUAACACAUGCAAGUCGAACGGAAAGGCACUGCUAUUGUGGGGUGAUCGAGUGGCGAACGGGUGCGUAACACGUGAGUAACCUGCCCUUGACUUUGGGAUAACUUCAGGAAACUGAGCUUAAUCCAGGACCGCAUACCCCCUACCAGGGAGGGGGUGGGAAAGUCUGGGCGGUUGUGGUUGGAUGAGCGGCUGUCGGGCUAGUUGGUGGGGGAGGGGCUUACCAAGCGAUGGACGGGUAGCCGGCCUGAGAGGGUGACCGGCGACAUUGGGACUGAGAGACGGCCCAGACUCGAACGUGAGGCAGCAGUGGGGAAUAUUGCACAAUGGGCGGAAGCCGGAUGCAGAAACGCCGCGGUCGUGAUGACGGCCUUCGGGUUGUAAACCGCUUUCGCCUGUGACGAAGCGGUAGUGACGGUAAUGAGUAAAGAAGCACCGGCUAACUACGUG
rnacentral:rRNA from 1 species